rnacentral:misc_RNA from 1 species
AGCUGCAGCCUAGAGCUGCACACGCACUAGCACUUCCUGCCGACGCGGCAGUUGAGCGCGCCGGCGUACCUGGUGAGCGACUCGGCGUACUGGCCGCCCUUGGCCUGGAUGAGGUCGAGCCUGUCGUACUUGCGCUCGUUCUGGCCGCCGGACUGGUUGAAGAAGGCGCCGUUGAGGAACAGGUCGUCCUGCGACUUCCACACCCAGUUCUUGUACUCGCUGUACUGCGUGUACUCCCGCUUGGUCACCUCCUUGAACCUGCUGUCGUCGACGGCGCGGAAGCGGUUGCCCUGGCUGAUGAUGGUGGGGUUCCGGCUGCCGCCGAUGGCGUACAUGAGCCAGUGCGUGUAGUCGUUGUUCACCACGUGGAAGAAGCCGUGACGGCAGCGCGGCAUCCGCUGCACCAGCCCCUUGCCGAAGUGGUUGAAGGCGACGGUGACCUGCAUCUCCCUGUCCUUGGACGCGGCGUCGCUGGCCCCGAACAGCAUAACGUGGUCGUGCCUCGUGAAGUGGCCGUUGGAGACGGUGAUGGCGGUGGAGCCGUCCACCGCGUCCACCAGCCCGUCCGCGCAGCUGCUCAUGGACAGGUGGUCGAUCCAGAUAUCGCUGGACCCCAUCACGGAGACGCCGUCGCCGUCGCUCUCCCCGCGCACGCCCCAGUGGUGCUGCGAGUCCCGGAUCGCGCCGCCGCCGUGCGCCGCGGCGUCGUGGACGUGCAGGUUGUGGAGGAUCACGUUGCGCACGUUCUGCAGCGUGAUCUGCGCGCCCACGAUGUGCACCUGCGCUCCGCGCCCGUCGAUGGUCUUGUCGCUGCUCACGAUGAGCUCCUGGCAGAGCUCGAUCACCAUGUCGCGCGCGAAGGUGAUCCACAGCGCCCGGGCCCGGGUCACGGCGUGCCGGAGCGUGCCCUUCCUGGGGGUGACGAGGUCGGCGGCGUCGUCGCUGGGGUCAAUCACCACGUAGAACUUGCCGGCCAGCCCGCCGGUGGUCCUGUGGCCGAAGCCCAUGGCGCACCUGGCCAGGCGCUUGCGGUCGCGGGCCCAGUCGCGGCGGCACCGCCAGCACUGGUCGAUGGGGUUGGUCGCCGUGCAGGGGCCCCGCGCCCUGUGCGCCAGGGACCGCGACCGCGUCGCCGUCGCCCUGUGCACGCCGUCGUUGAAGCGCUGCACGACGGCCACGGGGUCGGUCUGGUACGCCGCGCGGUUGUACGCGUGCGCCGCCUCCGCGCGCUCCGCCCAGUACUCCUGGUUAGCGGUGAGGUUGACGAGAUGCGCGUACGCCUCGUCGAUGGCGGCGUCGGUCGGCGUCGCCGCGGCGGUGGCGGGCACGGCGGCGAGGAUGUAGAGGAGGACGGACAGGGGGCUCCUCAGGACGGCGGAGCCUGCCAUUUUACUGACGAUCGAUCCUAGCUAUAUAUAUAUAUUAUUAAUUGGUUGGGGCUCGGUGGUGAGCGUGAGCCCCGGGGCGACGUGCGCCGGCUUGGCUCACCGCGGCGAGGGGCUCAGGCCUCACGGAGAAGUGUUACUUCUUCGAAAGGAUGCUGAGCCCGCCCCGGUGAGCGGACAUGAGCGAGGUGGAGGGAGCCGGCG